GGCCCGCCUCUUGCUUCAACACUCCUCAGGUAGCCAACGGCGGUUACCACCACUCAACGACAAAGACGUCGC
rfam:Pseudomonas floridensis strain GEV388 GEV-388_contig_19, whole genome shotgun sequence.